GCCCGAUUAGCUCAGCUGGUUAGAGCGUCGUACUAAUAAUAUUCACGGAUUACCAGGUAUGCGAAGGUCAACAGUUCAAUCCUGUUAUUGGGCA